UGCAAGUCGAGCGAACAGAUAAGGAGCUUGCUCCUUUGACGUUAGCGGCGGACGGGUGAGUAACACGUGGGUAACCUACCUAUAAGACUGGGAUAACUUCGGGAAACCGGAGCUAAUACCGGAUAACAUUUGGAACCGCAUGGUUCUAAAGUGAAAGAUGGUUUUGCUAUCACUUAUAGAUGGACCCGCGCCGUAUUAGCUAGUUGGUAAGGUAACGGCUUACCAAGGCGACGAUACGUAGCCGACCUGAGAGGGUGAUCGGCCACACUGGAACUGAGACACGGUCCAGACUCCUACGGGAGGCAGCAGUAGGGAAUCUUCCGCAAUGGGCGAAAGCCUGACGGAGCAACGCCGCGUGAGUGAUGAAGGGUUUCGGCUCGUAAAACUCUGUUAUUAGGGAAGAACAAAUGUGUAAGUAACUGUGCACGUCUUGACGGUACCUAAUCAGAAAGCCACGGCUAACUACGUGCCAGCAGCCGCGGUAAUACGUAGGUGGCAAGCGUUAUCCGGAAUUAUUGGGCGUAAAGCGCGCGUAGGCGGUUUCUUAAGUCUGAUGUGAAAGCCCACGGCUCAACCGUGGAGGGUCAUUGGAAACUGGGAAACUUGAGUGCAGAAGAGGAAAGUGGAAUUCCAUGUGUAGCGGUGAAAUGCGCAGAGAUAUGGAGGAACACCAGUGGCGAAGGCGACUUUCUGGUCUGUAACUGACGCUGAUGUGCGAAAGCGUGGGGAUCAAACAGGAUUAGAUACCCUGGUAGUCCACGCCGUAAACGAUGAGUGCUAAGUGUUAGGGGGUUUCCGCCCCUUAGUGCUGCAGCUA
rnacentral:rRNA from 1 species